UCCCGUGUGGCUCAGUUGAUAGAGCAUGGUGUUUGCACGCCAGGGUUGUGGGUUCGAUUCCCACAGGGGAC
rfam:Salmo salar isolate Sally breed double haploid chromosome ssa05, whole genome shotgun sequence.